GACGAACGCUGGCGGCGUGCUUAACACAUGCAAGUCGAACGGAAAGGCCCUGCUUUUGUGGGGUGCUCGAGUGGCGAACGGGUGAGUAACACGUGAGUAACCUGCCCUUUACUUUGGGAUAACUUCAGGAAACUGGGGCUCAUACCGGACAUGAGCUCCUGCUGCAUGGUGGGGGUGGGAGAGUUUCGGCGGUUGGGGAUGGACGCGCGGCUUAUCAGCUUGUUGGUGGGGUAGUGGCUUACCAAGGCUUUGACGGGUAGCCGGCCUGAGAGGGUGACCGGCCACAUUGGGACUGAGAUGCGGCCCAGACUCCUACGGGAGGCAGCAGUGGGGAAUAUUGCACGAUGGGCGGAAGCCUGAUGCAGCAACGCCGCGUGCGGGAUGACGGCCUUCGGGUUGUAAACCGCUUUCGCCUGUGACGAAGCGUGAGUGACGGUAAUGGGUAAAGAAGCACCGGCUAACUACGUG
rnacentral:rRNA from 1 species